rnacentral:rRNA from 1 species
GAUGAACGCUGGCGGCGUGCUUAACACAUGCAAGUCGAACGAAGCACUUGAAUGGAUUUCUUCGGAAUGAAGCUCUUGUGACUGAGUGGCGGACGGGUGAGUAACGCGUGGGUAACCUGCCUCAUACAGGGGGAUAACAGCUGGAAACGGCUGCUAAUACCGCAUAAGCGCACGGAAUCGCAUGAUUUAGUGUGCAAAACUCCGGUGGUAUGAGAUGGACCCGCGUCUGAUUAGCUGGUUGGCAGGGUAACGGCCUACCAAGGCGACGAUCAGUAGCCGACCUGAGAGGGUGACCGGCCACAUUGGGACUGAGACACGGCCCAAACUCCUACGGGAGGCAGCAGUGGGGAAUAUUGCACAAUGGGGGAAACCCUGAUGCGGCGACGCCGCGUGAGCGAAGAAGUAUUUCGGUAUGUAAAGCUCUAUCAGCAGGGAAGAAGAAUGACGGUACCUGACUAAGAAGCACCGGCUAAAUACGUGCCAGCAGCCGCGGUAAUACGUAUGGUGCAAGCGUUAUCCGGAUUUACUGGGUGUAAAGGGAGCGCA